ensembl:ncRNA C34E7.8 ncRNA
CUCCACUGUGUUGUCUAUUAUACCUGCCCCUUCUUGCCCUCACAAACACACUGACACUCGUACUUGCAUCUUCAUACUUUGGAAUUGUUGACCUAUUGCCCGCUGCCGCGGGAGUUGUUUCGGAGAUCGCUAAUUCAUUU